ACCCGGAUAUCCGAGAACCCCGGAUCCGGAUAAGGAUAGUAAAAUUAUGGAUCCGCCCGGAUAAGGAUCCGGAUCCGGAUACCUUAAAAUUGCCCGGAUAUCCGAUCCGUCCCAGGCCUAUGUACUGAUGAUAUUGUUGGAUUAAGCUCGAAGAUUACUUGAGUUAGAAGUUUAUCUUAAUCCUACCGAGUUAUGGAAUUGGGAAUAUAUUUAGGAUUUAUCUAAUAUAUGUUAUCUAUUAGGAUUAGGAGAAAUAAAUCUCUAUAUAAGUAGAUGAUGAUUGCAUAACUUGUGAGUUCUAGAGAUUGUGAGUGCUUAAGGUUUUGAGUUAUUUUCCUUAAGAGAGAUUAAUAAAAAGAGUUAUUUUUUAUUGUGAUUCAUAUUCAAUCUUCAAAAUUUUAUAUUUGGUAUCAGAGCCUUCCAUAAGAGAUGGGGGAUAUCGUCGCAGUUACAGACAAACCGAACGGAGGAGGCAAGUCUUCUAUACAAUGUCCUAUGCUUACAUCAACCAAUUAUACAGUAUGGGCAAUGCGUAUAAAGAUUGCUCUCAAAGUUCAUAAGGUAUGGGAAGCCAUCGAAGGAGACCUAACUGAAGGAGACAAGAAUGAUAUGGCCAUCGCACUUCUAUUCCGAUCAAUACCAGAAGUUCUUAUCCUACAGGUUGGGGAGCUCAACACGGCAAAGAAAGUCUGGGAAGCUAUAAAAACGAGACAUGUGGGAGCCGGGAUAGUCAAGGAAGCGAGAUUGCACACGUUGAUGAAUGAUUUUGACCGAUUGAAGAUGAAGGACGAUGAAACGAUCGACGACUUUGGAGGAAAAUUGUCGGAGAUCUCGCCAAAAUCAGCAGCACUGGGAGUAAGCAUCGAGGAACCAAAACUUGUAAAGAAGUUUUAAAACAGUCUUCCCUGGAGAAAGUAUAUUCACAUCGUGGCAUCUCUUGAGCAAGUUUUAGACCUAAAUACUACGAGUUUCGAAGACAUUAUAGGUCGUCUUAAAGCCUAUGAAGAACGUAUUGCUGAUGAAGAAGCUGAACCUCAGGAAGAUCAAACCAAACUGAUGCAUGUCAACAAUGAUUCUCAAGCAAACCAGUCGAAUCGAGGCUACAACGAUUAUCGCAACAGAGGUCAGGGAGGCGAGCAUCAUGGUACAGAGGUCAGGGAGGCGAGCAUCAUGGUACAGAGGAAGAGGCCGUGGUCGGAAUAACGGAGGCAGAGAUACAUCGAGAGUCAUGUGCUAUAAGUGUGAUAAACUUGGUCAUUACGCAUCAGAUUGUCCGGAUCACUUGCUUAAACUACAAGAAACGCAAGAAAACAGUAGUGACACGCAAGAUGUGGACGAGCUGAUGAUACAUGAGAUUGUAUAUCUUAAUGAAGAUGGAAUCGUGCCAAGCAAGUAUGAUGCCAACACCAGCGGAGAAAACAUGUGGUAUUUGGAUAAUGGAAUCCAAGCACGACUGCUUCAAGCGCAUAAGCAGAACAAGGAAGGAAUGUGUUACAUCAACAGCCGCAAAGCCAUGGAUCCAAUAUCCUCCGCUCCUUACCCAGAUUCUUCUUCUAUUCUCGUUUCUAUCACAUCCUUUCGGGAGCAAUCGAGUUUUGUACGAUUUGGUGAAGGCUGGAGCUUGUUUACAGAAGAUCCAGAAUUCAUCAAGAACAUCUCCUGUUCGUCUUUAAGUUUCAGAUGACACAGAAUUCUUCAAGAACAGCUUGAUAGUUUCCAAGUCUUCGGGCAUUGAUCAUGUUGGAAGAAUCGAAAAAGAACACAGUUGUUGUAUCCACUAACUACACAUCUCCAGUGCCAGGAAGGGCUACUGCAAGUGCAAGCUCAAGUUCGUGUAGUCAGUCAGAGAAUAGCUGUUGUGGCACCUCUUCUAGCAAUAAGGGAGACGAGGAGGAUGUAAACGUCGAUUUGACUGAACAGAAGAAAGCCAAUGACGUUGAUUCCAUCUGAAUCUGAUGUUGUGUUCUUUGUCAUGACUGGUUUU